GGGGGGCGGGGGAGUCGGCCUCGCCAGUGCGCAUGCGCGAGGCCCGAGCCGCCGCUUGGGCCACAGUGAAAGCCACCGUUGCCCGGGGAUGGGUCCCUGACACUUGGCGAAGUAGCAGCCCUGUGUGAUCGUGCGUCUGAGUCUGGGCUGAGACCAGUCCUGGCCAGGGUAGUUACCAGGACGGUCUCCGGAGGCCGGGAUUCGCGGAGGGUCCACCAGCAGGAAGAAACCCCAGGAGGAAGAAACCUCAGACAGAUCGCCGGCGAGGCAGCGCGGGAUCCCAGCCUCAGGCGUGCGCGGACGGUGUGCGGCGCACACAACCAAGCUUAGGAGCCGACUGUUAAGAUGCCCCAGUGACACGGACAAGUUUCUCCUCUGCAACCCAAUGAGAGCUGCUGACCACGAGAGCAUCGCGGGACCGCCAAAGGAUUCUGGAAAAUGUGGUCCCGGGUGGCCAGUGUGCGCUGACCUUCACCUGAAGGUACGGCUUGAAGGAAACUUCUGGAGGGUGGGGUGGUGUUGAAGAGAAGGCACAAUUGUCACCAUUUUGUUCAACAUGGGCGUUUUCUUUGUGCAUUGAUUUGCAUUUUUAAAGAUCCUAUGUGUCAGAGGUCGGGAAACUACAUCAGCCCCAGUCCGGGCGCCCAUGAGACCUGUGGACGGAC
rnacentral:lncRNA from 1 species